UUUGCCAGCAAAAAACUGAAUUAAUGUGAUUUUACAUCAUCAGCGUCAUUAAAAAUUGUACCAUUUAAGGAGUUCUGCAUGGAACGAAAUAAAUGGUAAUCUAAAGGCGCAAAGUCAGGGUUAUAUGGUGGAUGUGACAACACAUCCCAACCUAAUUCCAAUAAUUUUUGGCGAAUGACCAAAGAUGUGUGGGGCUUCGCAUUGUUAUGCUGGAAAACAACACCCCUAGGAUUUGCCAAUUGUGGCCGCUUUUCUUCAACUGCAUCGCUCAGUUUGGCGAGUUGUUCAACGUACACGUUUUAAUUAAUGGUUUGGUUUCUUGGUAAAGGUUCAAAGUACAGAACUCUUUUAUAAUCCCACCAAACUGACGGCAUAAUCUUUUCUUGGUGAAUCUCAGCUUUUGGUGUCGUCUGGGCUGGUUCAUCUUGCAUCAGCCACGAUCUUUUCCCAUUAACGUUGUUAUAAACUAUCCACUUUUGGUCGCCAGUAAUCAGUCGUUUCAGAAA